rnacentral:rRNA from 1 species
UACGUAGGUGGCAAGCGUUGUCCGGAUUUAUUGGGCGUAAAGCGCGCGCAGGUGGUUCGUCGCGUCCGGGGUGAAAUCUCCUGGCUCAACUGGGAGGGGUCUUCGGAUACGGGCGGACUUGAGGAGAGCAGAGGUAGGCGGAAUGCUGGGUGUAGUGGUGAAAUGCGUAGAUAUCCAGCGGAACACCAGUGGCGAAGGCGGCCUACUGGGCUCCACCUGACACUGAGGCGCGAAAGCGUGGGGAGCGAACCGG